UACGUAGGGGGCAAGCGUUGUCCGGAUUUAUUGGGCGUAAAGAGCGUGUAGGCGGCUAGGUAGGUCCGUUGUGAAAACUCGAGGCUCAACCUCGAGACGUCGAUGGAAACCAUCUAGCUAGAGUCCGGAAGAGGAGAGUGGAAUUCCUGGUGUAGCGGUGAAAUGCGCAGAUAUCAGGAAGAACACCCGUGGCGAAGGCGGCUCUCUGGUACGUGGCUGACGCUGAGACGCGAAAGCGUGGGGAGCAAACAGG
rnacentral:rRNA from 1 species